ensembl:lncRNA
AUCAAAUGUAAUGCUUUGCUCUAUAACGCAUAAUUUUCCCAGCAAAUAAAAACAUUAAUUAUCCUGUUUUUUAAAAAUGUCCUGUUUGUUUCCUUUGUUAUUACAGUGCCGUCCCAUGUUGGUCUGAAUCGGCCCCCGCUGUAAGUGUCCCUCGACUGUUUCCGUAGUUUGGCCCCACAUAAACGCCUUCCUUUCCGAGAAGCCGGACGUGAGUGCUGAAGGUCGUGAAUUAAACGAAGUCAACGAUGUCACUUGUAAAGCCAGCAAUGAGAGGCCUCCUUGCCAAGCGUUUGAGGUUCCACUUGCCCAUAGCUUUCGGUCUUGCCCUUGUGGCAGCAGUCGCCUUCAAGUUCACUGUAACAGAGCCCAGGAAACAAGCUUAUGCUGACUUCUACAAACAUUACGAUUCAAUGAAGGAGUUCAGUGCCAUGAGGGAAGCUGGUGUUUUUGAAAGUGUCAGACCCACUGGAAAAUAAACC